rnacentral:lncRNA from 1 species
AAGGAGCUGUUGCACACUGCCGUUAAUCUCAGGGCCCCUGCCAUCCCUCUCCUUGGGCUACCAUGGCCAUCGCUUGACUCUAAACAAGCUGACAACAGGUUGUCUGGAGAGUUGGCUGGUGGACAAACUGAGCCUCAGGAAACAGCUUCAAGGUCUCAUACCUUCAAAAACAAGUCUUUUAAAAAAUCUAGAAUCUGUGGAAUCUGCAAACAAGUAAUUGACAGCCAAGGAAUUUCUUGCAGAGUUUGCAAAUAUGCCUGCCACAGGAAAUGUGAAGAAAAG